AAGGAGCGUACCUUGUGCUUGAAAAGGAAGGAAGAGCGAUCCAAGGCUGCCAAUAGAGGAAGAAAAGUCGUGGCUUGAUGUUCAUAAGGAAAUAUGCAUGUACUAAGGCUUUCAGAAGAGGAAGGAUGCGCGGAUCAUGCUUCCAGAAGAGGAGGCGCGCGCAUGGAUUGCAAAAGAGGCAGGAGAAUGCAGUCAUUAAUGUGCAGAAGUGGAAAGAUAUAUGUCCAGUCUUUCCUUUUUAGGUGGAGCCUUCAUUUGAAUUUUAAACGCUGAACGCAGAAGAGGCAAGUGUGCCUUGAUGAGACCUUGCUGCCUAAAUUGGAAGAUUUGACUGCUGCAGUACGUGCACAUCUUUGAAUAAGGAAAGAAAGAUCUGCGAUUCGAAAUUCAAAUAAUUUCCUGACUGAGCUUUCCUUAUUUGCUUUUGUCUCUGCACUUUCCUCAUUUGAAGACUUUCCUUUUCUGAAAACCUGCCUUAUUUGAAAACUUUCCUUUCUUAGCACAUGUUCUAAAUAAGGCAGGAAAGAUUCUGCAGUUCGAAUUUCGGACAGUUUGCUGACUGUGCUUUUUGACACUUUCCUUAUUUGGC
rnacentral:lncRNA from 1 species